rnacentral:ncRNA from 2 species
AAUAAUAUGAAUUUUUAUGGUGCAAUAUUGAAUUGCUUAAAAGGGAAGCUUGGUGUAAAUCCAACACGGUCCCGCCACUGUAAGAGUGAGCAUAUCAUUGUAUACCACUGUUGUUUAUCAAUGGGAAGGUAAUGAUAGUGCUAUGAUCUCAAGUCAGGAGACCUGCCAUGAAAACUUAUAAGAU